UACGUAGGCGGCGAGCGUUAUCCGGAUUUACUGGGCGUGCAGAGGAUGUAGGCGGUUUGGCAAGUCGGUUGUAAAAUCUCCCGGCCUAACUGGGAGGGAUCGACCGAUACUGCCAGGCUAGAGGGCAGCAGAGGGAGGUGGAAUUCCCGGUGUAGUGGUGAAAUGCGUAGAUAUCGGGAGGAACACCAGUGGCGAAGGCGGCCUCCUGGGCUGUUACUGGCGCUGAGGUCCGAAGGCGUGGGGAGCAAACAGG
rnacentral:rRNA from 1 species